CUUGCUUCUCUUGAGAGCGGCGGACGGGUGAGUAAUGCCUAGGAAUCUGCCUGGUAGUGGGGGAUAACGUUCGGAAACGGACGCUAAUACCGCAUACGUCCUACGGGAGAAAGCAGGGGACCUUCGGGCCUUGCGCUAUCAGAUGAGCCUAGGUCGGAUUAGCUAGUUGGUGGGGUAAUGGCUCACCAAGGCGACGAUCCGUAACUGGUCUGAGAGGAUGAUCAGUCACACUGGAACUGAGACACGGUCCAGACUCCUACGGGAGGCAGCAGUGGGGAAUAUUGGACAAUGGGCGAAAGCCUGAUCCAGCCAUGCCGCGUGUGUGAAGAAGGUCUUCGGAUUGUAAAGCACUUUAAGUUGGGAGGAAGGGUUGUAGAUUAAUACUCUGCAAUUUUGACGUUACCGACAGAAUAAGCACCGGCUAACUCUGUGCCAGCAGCCGCGGUAAUACAGAGGGUGCAAGCGUUAAUCGGAAUUACUGGGCGUAAAGCGCGCGUAGGUGGUUUGUUAAGUUGGAUGUGAAAUCCCCGGGCUCAACCUGGGGAACUGCAUUCAAAACUGACUGACUAGAGUAUGGUAGAGGGGUGGUG
rnacentral:rRNA from 1 species